AAACACUAGCAUGGCCCCUGUGCAAAGAUGAUGCGCAAAUUUGUGAAAUGUUCCAUAUAUUU
rnacentral:snRNA from 1 species